GUGAAUCAUCAAAUCUUUGAACGCAAAUUGCGCCUUUUUCGGAAGGCAUGCCUGUUUGAGGGCACCAUUUAACAAAUAAUGUGCAGCGUUUUUUGUUGCACACGCGGUUGAGUUUUCCAAGAAUUUUAAUUUUUUGGUGGCGCAUAAUGAACAGGGUGAAAGUUUUUUCCAGUUGGAGUGUAGUAAAAUCUUUGUUUGGUUUUUGAAAAAAAUUAAUCGCGAAAUGGGGGAGGCAAUUUCUUUUUAUCCCUGCCCCAAU
rnacentral:misc_RNA from 1 species